AAAACAUUGAGUGUUUGCGUAAAAAUUCGUGGCCCUAGGCCAUAUGCUGUUGGUUUUACUGUUAUAUCUCUACGUUCAUCUGGUGGCUCUCCCAGUUUUAGAAAAACUGUUGAUUCAUACAGGACUGGGUUCAACGUCCUCGAGAUGUCUGAUGUACCCCCCGGAUCAUAUCACAUUAUUCCUACGACAUUUCAACCGCAUUGUGAGGGUCCAUUUAUUCUUGAAGUAUCCUCCUCAGCCAAACUCACUCUCAGAAAACUCUGAUGUUGGUUGUAUUUCAUAAUUUUAGUGAUAUUUUUGUAUUUGAAUGCAUGCAUAUGUACAUGGUGAACAUCGUGAUAGGUUCCUGCAGAAGACUAAAGUCUGUAAACACGAUAUUAUUUACAUAUGUCAUGCAAACAUACGUCGCAAUUUAAGUUUUCUUGUGAGAGGAAGUCGGCAUAAGAUUGUGGUUAUGGUAAACAAUGAUAUCAAAUAUAUCAUUGGAGACAGUUGUCUGCGAGAAAUAAAAUGUUUCUAUCAAAACGUUAUAAUUUUCUCAAGUUUUAAAUCAAAAGCUAAUAGAUCCUCUGUUUGUUUUAAAAUUUAAGAGUAAAAUAACCUCUAAAGCUAUAGUUUAUUUAUCUCUAAGCUUAAUCUUUGUAUUUGCUGAAAAUAGACUGACACAUACAUCAAGCUGUGUAGUGGGUUAUCAUGUCCACUAUAUCAUUGUAAAAAUUUAAAACUGAAUUUAGAUUUGAAAUUAAUGAAAUUCUUUGAA